CAGAUCAGAAGGUGAUUGUGGCUUUGAAUAGCUAUUAAGCAGCCACAGCACUACCUGGUCAGA
rnacentral:pre_miRNA from 1 species